rnacentral:rRNA from 1 species
UACGUAGGGGGCAAGCGUUGUCCGGAAUUAUUGGGCGUAAAGAGCGUGUAGGCGGUCCGGUAAGUCAGCUGUGAAAGUCAAGGGCUCAACCCUUGAAAGCCGGUUGAUACUGUCGGGCUAGAGUCCGGAAGAGGCGAGUGGAAUUCCCGGUGUAGCGGUGAAAUGCGCAGAUAUCGGGAGGAACACCAAUGGCGAAGGCAGCUCUCUGGGACGGUACUGACGCUGAGACGCGAAAGCGUGGGGAGCGAACAGG